GGGCUGGGGCUCAUUGGUAGAGUGCUUGCCUAGCACGUGUGAAGCCCUGGGUUCAACCCUCAGCACCACA
rnacentral:tRNA from 1 species